GACGUAGGGCGCGAGCGUUUGUCCGGAUUUAUUGGGCGUAAAGAGCUCGUAGGCGGCCCGGUUCGUAAGGGGUGAAAUCUCACGGCUUAACCGUGAGGCUGCCUCUUAAACUGCCGGGCUCGAGCACAGUAGAGGCAGGUGGAAUUCCCGGUGUAGCGGUGGAAUGCGUAGAGAUGCGGAGGAACACCGAUGGCGAAGGCAGCCCCCCUGGGCUAGCACUGACGCUCAGGCACGAAAGCGUGGGUAGCAAACAGG
rnacentral:rRNA from 1 species